rnacentral:rRNA from 1 species
AUUGAACGCUGGCGGCAGGCCUAACACAUGCAAGUCGAACGAGUGGCGGACGGGUGAGUAAUGUCUGGGAACCUGCCUGAUGGAGGGGGAUAACUACUGGAAACGGUAGCUAAUACCGCAUACCAUCAGAUGUGCCCAGAUGGGAUUAGCUAGUUGGUGGGGUAACGGCGCACCAAGGCGACGAUCCCUAGCUGGGCUGAGAGGAUGACCAGCCACACUGGAACUGAGACACGUUCCAGACUCCUACGGUAGGGAGCAGUGGGGAUGAUUGCACAAGGGGCGCAAGCCUGAUGCAGCCAUGCCGCGUGUAUGAAGAAGGCCUUCGGGUUGUAAAGUACUUUCAGCGGGGAGGCGUUACCCGCAGAAGAAGCACCGGCUAACUCCGUGCCAGCAGCCGCGGUAAUUC